rnacentral:tRNA from 1 species
ACCUGGGUGGCUCAGUGGGUUAAGUGUCUGACUUCAGUUCAGGUCAUGCUCUUGCGGUUUGUGGGUUCGAGCCCCACGUCGGGCU